rnacentral:rRNA from 1 species
GUGACGAAGCGACGCCGCGUGUGGGAAGAAGGCCUUCGGGUUGUAAACCACUGUCGGGAGUUAGGAAAUGCAGGUGCGUUAAUAGCGUUCUUGCUUGACUAAGGCUCCGGAGGAAGCCACGGCUAACUCUGUGCCAGCAGCCGCGGUAAUACAGAGGCGGCAAGCGUUGUUCGGAAUUAUUGGGCGUAAAGGGCACGUAGGCGGCCCUGCAAGUCAGUUGUGAAAUCCUUCCGCUUAACGGAAGAACGGCAGGUGAUACUACAGGGCUAGAGUGCGGUAGGGGAGAGCGGAACUUCUGGUGGAGCGGUGAAAUGCGUAGAUAUCAGAAGGAACACCGGCGGCGAAAGCGGCUCUCUGGUCCGUAACUGACGCUGAGGUGCGAAAGCUAGGGGAGCAAACGGGAUUAGAUACCCCGGUAGUCCUAGCCGUAAACGAU